UUGGAGGGCAAGUCUGGUGCCAGCAGCUGCGGUAAUUCCAGCUCCAAUUGCGUAUAUUAAAGUUGUUGCAGUUAAAAAGCUCGUAGUUGAAUUUCGGGAUCAAGGGAUCGGUCAUGCCUUGGUAUGUACUGGUUUCAUUGGUUCUCACCUUCUAAAGAACCAUGAUGUCAUUCAUUUGAUGUUAUGGGGAAUUAGGACUGUUACCUUGAAAAAAUUAGAGUGUUUAAAGCAGGCUUUACGCUUGAAUACAUUAGCAUGGAAUAAUGAAAUAGGACAUCCGAUUCUAUUUUGUUGGUUUCUAGGAUCGAUGUAAUGAUUAAUAGGGAUAGUUGGGGGCAUUAGUAUUCAAUUGUCAGAGGUGAAAUUCUUGGAUUUAUUGAAGACUAACUACUGCGAAAGCAUUUGCCAAGGAUGUUUUCAUUAAUCAAGAACGAAAGUUAGGGGAUCGAAGACGAUCAGAUACCGUCGUAGUCUUAACCAUAAACUAUGCCGACUAGGGAUCGGAUGAUGUUAAUUUUAUAAUGACUCAUUCGGCACCUUACGGGAAAC
rnacentral:rRNA from 1 species